AGUCUACAUAAACAUGAUAUGAAGAAAAUGUAGUCCAUUUCAGAAGAACAGAAUAGCAUACUUUGAGUUGUCCUUAUGUUAGGUCUUGAUCUGGCUAUGCCAUAUGGCUGUGAGCUGCACUAGUUAAUUUAGCAGACAACAUUUGCUUAGAAUUCCGUGGCAUCAUUUUGUAUUAUUUUAUAGUAUGAAGAAUAUAAUUGAACAUAGCUUGCUAAAAUAGAAAGGAUAUAUUCUGCCAACAAUUUCAAAGGAAGUGCAUACAUGCGCACAGCCGGUUAUUUCAAACAUGAACAUAUGCUUUAUUCUGUGUUGAGCGGUUAACAAAGAAACUGGUCCUCCUAUAUGCUUCAUUUAGAGGUAUUUAUGCAACUUUAGUUGUGAUACAAAUGUCGGGCAAUAUGAUUGGAUUUUUAAUACAUUCUAUGGCUGCAUGAUGGGAUUCUAAUGAUGAUUUGAAAAAAGUCGCAAGAUGCACACACUUCAAUGGUGGAAAUUAUCUUCCCCAAACUUGAAACUCAUGCACUGUGUAUAUUAUGCGAGUUAGGUAUCGGUUAUAUAGCAGAUUAAUGUCCUUAAUCUGAAGAAGAAGAAGUUAUUUGGCCACUUUGGUUGUGAUACAAACCUAAUGAAAACAUAUAGGCCUAUGGGCUAGGCUACAUGAGGUGUGAUACUAACCUUAUUAAAACAUAUAGGCCUAUGGGCUAGGCUACAUGAGAUGUGAUACUAACCUUAUUAAAACAUAUAGGCCUAUGGGCUAGGCUACAUGAGGUGUGAUAACCUUAUUAAAACAUAUAGGCCUAUGGGCUAGGCUACAUGAGGUGUGAUACUAACCUUAUUAAAACAUGUAGGCCUAUGGGCUAGGCUACAUGAGGUGUGAUACUAACCUUAUUAAAACAUAUAGGCCUAUGGGCUAGGCUACAUGAGGUGUGAUACUAACCUUAUUAAAACAUGUAGGCCUAUGGGCUAGGCUACAUGAGGUGUGAUACUAACCUUAUUAAAACAUAUAGGCCUAUGGGCUAGGCUACAUGAGAUGUGAUACUAACCUUAUUAAAACAUAUAGGCCUAUGGGCUAGGCUACAUGAGGUGUGAUACUAACCUUAUUAAAACAUAUAGGCCUAUGGGCUAGGCUACAUGAGAUGUGAUACUAACCUUAUUAAAACAUAUAGGCCUAUGGGCUAGGCUACAUGAGGUGUGAUACUAACCUUAUUAAAACAUAUAGGCCUAUGGGCUAGGCUACAUGAGGUGUGAUACUAACCUUAUUAAAACAUGUAGGCCUAUGGGCUAGGCUACAUGAGGUGUGAUACUAACCUUAUUAAAACAUAUAGGCCUAUGGGCUAGGCUACAUGAGAUGUGAUACUAACCUUAUUAAAACAUAUAGGCCUAUGGGCUAGGCUACAUGAGGUGUGAUACUAACCUUAUUAAAACAUAUAGGCCUAUGGGCUAGGCUACAUGAGAUGUGAUACUAACCUUAUUAAAACAUGUAGGCCUAUGGGCUAGGCUACAUGAGGUGUGAUACUAACCUUAUUAAAACAUAUAGGCCUAUGGGCUAGGCUACAUGAGAUGUGAUACUAACCUUAUUAAAACAUAUAGGCCUAUGGGCUAGGCUACAUGAGGUGUGAUA